UUACAGUUAACUAGUCCAACGCAAUAAUGACCUGCCUGUCUCUCGUUGCACUCCACAAGGAGACUGCCUGUUACGCAAAUGCCAAGGGAGUGAUGGUGAUGACAGUGGCUCUGAUGACCAGGCGAGAGAGGAGAAUAACCUGUGGGAGGAGCAACAGAUUGGGAUGUGAGUCAAGCGACACCCUGGGGGAACAGGUAAGAUAUUCACCCCUCUACUUUCUAAGUCGCACACAAACACACUUACUUUCUCUCUCUCACUCCGUCACUUCACCGUCUGUCCGUCCGUCCGUGAUGAAAUCUUCAUUCCUCACGACCCUAAGAAGUGAGUGACUUGUGAUUUAUUUAAGUAGUUACUGGAAUUCAUGUGUCAUACCAAGCUUGUCAUGCCGUAGCUUUACCAGGACGCCCUGGUGUUCUGGCGGGUUUUUAGAUGACAAAUCCUCUCCAAAGAGGCGGUUCAGAGACCAGCCGUGAAGGUACGUAAAACAACACUUGUUUUAAAGGUCUUGUUCCAUGAUGCGUUUUCUAAAAGAGGGUUUAUAGUGCACUGUGGUGACGGACCAUGUGGCUAGUUAGCCCGUAACAACAUCUACCAGUAAAGUCCAGUCAAGAGAUGGAGGGCUUUCGUGUCACAGCUCCUUGCGUGUUGCCUUGUGCAGCUAAUUCCCCUGCCUUUACUGCGUGGUCUCUCUUGCCAUUUCUGUGACAUCCAUUGCUUUAGUGGUGUUUCCAUCUUGCGUGUCAACUCUUCGGUAACGUGGGCCGGUGGGGUGGUUUGAUACCUGAACACGCUCUAAAGGAGCUUGAUGUUGGACAAACUCCUGAACUGCUACCUGAAUGAUGACACUACUCAACGAGACCCCAUCUCAGGACUCUGUCCAUAAAUGCAAAAAGGUGUGUAGGUGAAUUGCGUGUGUCUAAUGUUGAUGUGUUGUCUAC
ensembl:lncRNA